UGGGGAAUUUUGGGCAAUGGGGGAAACCCUGAUCCAGCCAUCCCGCGUGUGCGAUGAAGGCCUUCGGGUUGUAAAGCACUUUUGGCAGGAGAGAAACGUCGCGGGUUAAUACCCCGCGAAACUGACGGUACCUGCAGAAUAAGCACCGGCUAACUACGUGCCAGCAGCCGCGGUAAUACGUAGGGUGCAAGCGUUAAUCGGAAUUACUGGGCGUAAAGCGUGCGCAGGCGGUUCGGAAAGAAAGAUGUGAAAUCCCAGAGCUUAACUUUGGAACUGCAUUUUUAACUACCGGGCUAGAGUGUGUCAGAGGGAGGUGGAAUUCCGCGUGUAGCAGUGAAAUGCGUAGAUAUGCGGAGGAACACCGAUGGCGAAGGCAGCCUCCUGGGAUAACACUGACGCUCAUGCACGAAAGCGUGGGGAGCAAACAGGAUUAGAUACCCUGGUAGUCCACGCCCUAAACGAUGUCAACUAGCUGUUGGGGGCCUUCGGGCCUUGGUAGCGCAGCUAACGCGUGAAGUUGACCGCCUGGGGAGUACGGUCGCAAGAUUAAAAACUUAAAUGAAUUGAC
rnacentral:rRNA from 1 species